CAGUUCAAGGUUCAGCAGUUUAAACUGUUCAGUUCAGUUAUUUGUUCUGGCUACUGACUGAUAAUUGAUUACAUGUCAUGACAUUAAUUCUUCACUUGGUCUCAAAUUUUCCUCUGCACCAGGGAACUUCUUAGAGGACCACUGUAGUAUGCUGCAGCUAUUACUUUCACAUGCAUAAUGUAUUGGAGAACUUUGCCAGUUUUGAUUGCUGCAGUCGUAUGGCCGACGUUGUCGGAAGGAGAUUUGGUAGUACAAAAAAUACCUUACAACAAAAACAAGUCCAAAGCUAGAUCAAUUGCAAUGGCAUCUGCUGGAUUCUUAGCUUAUAUUGGCAGAGAUUACUUGUGCAAGACCAGAAAUAAUAAUCUUCUUGCCGGACAGAGAUGCCGAGUGGCCGUUUCCCUGAUUUGAAUUUGCAGCCAGAGGUCUCUAAGAAAAAUAAACCUUUUUUCUCAGCAAACUCUUUUGCAUCCUCUGUCGGUACUACAUGCUGGUCCUCAAGAUCACUUUUGUUUCCUAUAAGAAUGAUGUCUAUGUUCUUGUCAGCAUGAUUAUGCUGUUCUUUUAACCAUAGGUAUGUGAUCAAAGCUCGGACGUAUGGUAAUGUCAUAAACCAACAUUGCCUCAACAGCACCCCUGUAGUAUGCAAUUGUAACUGCUCUAUAUCUAUAGAAAAUUCCAUUUAAAUAUAUAUCAGGAAAAUUGCAAUCAAUAUUUAAUGUACUUGUAAUGAUAUGAGGUUAUAGAUGUCAAUUUCUUCUUGAUUUUGAGCAACACGUCAAGCAUGGGUUAGUUGGUGUUACGCCAGAUAAGCAUCCUUUAGGUGGUCAAGAUGUAGAUGUUUCAUCUCUGGGAUGGGCGAUGUCGGCAUUCUCAUCUAGAGAUAGAAGUUUGUCUCAUUUUCUUUUUAGUUGUUAGCUUAUGGUUGUUAUUCAUUCAUUUUCUAGAAAAAGAAAAUAGACAGAAACAAGAUAUGACACGACCAAAGGCAUUUUGCAUGAAGCAUUUUAAAGCCCAAGUUCUUCCUUUUUUUCAUCGAUUAUCUUAAGGUAGCACUGUAAAUUUAGUUCUUCAUUAUCUAAAAGUAUCAUUUUGUUAAGAGUUAUUAGUUCUUGAAACUUUACCAUCACUAUUAUUAGUUUAUUAUGACACUUAUAUUUUGUCAACAGUUUAAAUUAAAUUCAGAGAUUAUAGCAGCAUGUAUCCAUGUCCUAUUGACAUUGGCCAUUGUUGUUCAUACUUACUCUUACAGUCUUAUCGAUGUGCGUCUUUAUUGUCCUUUUCUGCAAAAUAUUGCAUGAAUCAUUUAUCAGUUUUGCAUGUAAUUCUAAUUUUGAGAGCUGGUCUUGCUCUUGCUGAACAUUCAUCAUCAAUCUUGCCUGCUACAUAAACAUAUCAUUUAGGUUUGUCUCAAAAUGAAGAAUGGAACUUUGAACUAUUUCAAAGGAAUAAUGCUCAUUCUUUGAUAUUUUAUAGUUUUUGCAUUAGGUGCAGGCUAUCAAGGCAUGCUACUAAGUAUCAGGAUGUUUUGGAGCUAUUAGAUCUCUCUCCAAGUCAUAGGGAAUGGUUCAAGAUAUGUGUUACUUCAACAAAGAGUUUCUGGGCCAUAGUAAUGCAAGGGCUCUUUCUUAGUUUAACAUGUAUCUUGAUAAUAAUAAAUAUAAUUUUCUUGCUCUCAAAACCUUUACUAAAUUGAUGAUUAAUAAAGUGGAUUUCCUUGCUAUCAGAAUUCGUAUUAGUUUUCUUAAGCUUGAACACACAAAUUAGGCUUUAGUAAUAAUAUUUAUACCGAAUGAUGCUGCAACAAGUUUUGAAUUAUGUUUUUCACUUACUGCCGGACACAGUUCAUGUUGUGGAGUCUAAGCCUGCCAAAAGAUACGGAGAUUACUUCCUGCGUCAGGUGGUUAAGCUUGAAGGAGUGAUCAAUGAGAUGGACAAUAUAAAGGUAGAGUGAGUUGAUACAUUUCACAUCCUUGCUGGUUGCUCUUUCCAAUAUGCUUUGCCGCCAAAAAUUUGUUCAUUUCCCCUUGAAAUGGAAGGAUGUAGUUAGCUUCCUACAUGUGAUACUAAAUACUAAUUAUUAAAGUUUAUUUUAUUUAGAGAACUAAUUUAUGUUUUCAAAUGAGGCAUAUAGAUUCAAUGUUUCUUUUA